rnacentral:rRNA from 1 species
GACGAACGCUGGCGGCGUGCCUAAUACAUGCAAGUCGAACAGUGGCGAACGGGUGAGUAACACGUGAGUAACCUGCCCUCCACUUUGGGAUAACUCCGAGAAAUCGGGGCUAAUACUAGCUCGUGGGGGCUGGGCUCGCGGCCUAUGAGUAUGUUGGUGAGGUAGUGGUCACAAAGGGGUGACGGGUAGCCGGCCUGAGAGGGCGACAGGCCACACUGGGACUGAGACACGGCCCAGACUCCAUCGGGAGGCAGCAGUGGGGAAUAUUGCACAAUGGGCGAAAGCCUGAUGCAGCGACGCCGCGUGGGGGAUGACGGCCUUCGGGUUGUAAACCUCUUUCAGCAAGGAAGCGGUACUUGCAGAAGAAGCGCCGGCUAACUACGUGCCAGCAGCCGCGGUAAUUC